CAGUAGCCACGGUAAUACGGAGGAUGCGAGCGUUAUUCGGAAUCAUUGGGUUUAAAGGGUCUGUAGGCGGGCUAUUAAGUCAGGGGUGAAAGGUUUCAGCUUAACUGAGAAAUUGCCUUUGAUACUGGUAGUCUUGAAUAUCUGUGAAGUUCUUGGAAUGUGUAGUGUAGCGGUGAAAUGCUUAGAUAUUACACAGAACACCGAUUGCGAAGGCAGGGGACUAACAGACAAUUGACGCUGAGAGACGAAAGCGUGGAGAGCGAACAGGAUUAGAUACCCCGGUAGUCCCUGUCUCUUAUAC
rnacentral:rRNA from 1 species